UAGCUACAACAUCGAAUUCGACCUGGCUAAAUAUAUAGGAAUGUUUAAGAGAUAAUACACAUCAACAAAUUGGAUGAGGCAACACUGAUAACAAUGCAAGAGAUAAGCUAUAUAAACAUUAAGCAAUCAUAAAAAGUACAUGAAACGAAC